rnacentral:rRNA from 1 species
AUUGAACGCUGGCGGCAGGCUUAACACAUGCAAGUCGAGCGGAGAUGAGGUGCUUGCACCUUAUCUUAGCGGCGGACGGGUGAGUAAUGCUUAGGAAUCUGCCUAUUAGUGGGGGACAACAUUCCGAAAGGAAUGCUAAUACCGCAUACGCCCUACGGGGGAAAGCAGGGGAUCUUCGGACCUUGCGCUAAUAGAUGAGCCUAAGUCGGAUUAGCUAGUUGGUGGGGUAAAGGCCUACCAAGGCGACGAUCUGUAGCGGGUCUGAGAGGAUGAUCCGCCACACUGGGACUGGGAAACGGCCCAGACUCCGACGGGAGGCGGCAGUGGGGAAUAUUGGACAAUGGGCGGAAGCCUGAUCCAGCCAUGCCGCGUGUGUGAAGAAGGCCUUUUGGUUGUAAAGCACUUUAAGCGAGGAGGAGGCUACCUGGAUUAAUACUCUAGGAUAGUGGACGUUACUCGCAGAAUAAGCACCGGCUAACUCUGUGCCAGCCGCCGCUGUAACAC